AGGGGGCUGCCCUGUUCGUCAGGUUCGCUAAUUCCCGGGGCCGAUGCUCAUUUCUCUAGGGAGCUGUCCCUUGCCAGGCCGUGGUCUGGUUAUACGGCGCCCACCUGCACCUGCAGGUCACGAGGAAUUACCAAAUGGCCAACGGCAGCGGUGGCUCCCGC
rnacentral:other from 2 species